CGGAAUAUACAAGCCAAGUUUAUGAAAAAGUGAUUCCCACUAGGAUAUGAAUGAUAUAACACGAGACUCACUAUAUGAAGAACAUGGUGCCACUUUGAGGCACAAGUGUGGUAAAGGAUAGUAGCAAAGUCCCUUCUAUUUUCCCCUCCCAUUCAGUUUUUUCUUUGCAUAAUUUUUUAUUAUGGUAGGCUCACUUGGCCUCCCCCAUUUUUAUUUCCUCACUGAGACAAUAUUGUAAUAAUGAUGAUCAUCACACUUUUAUUUAUUCACAACUCAAUAUGAAAACUGAUAGGACGAUAUGAC
rnacentral:lncRNA from 1 species